rnacentral:misc_RNA from 1 species
GCAAACUUGGUCAUUUAGAGGAAGUAAAAGUCGUAACAAGGUUUCCGUAGGUGAACCUGCGGAAGGAUCAUUACAAAUCCAUCUACCAUUACAACGUUGUACCCCGUUCGGUGCCAGGCCUAACCGCCUAGCAUCGAACACAUAUAUGACACCAGUUUAUCGUGUUACGUCAUAUGUAUCUCAGCUCUGAGACAUCUCAUUGCUUAUACGAAAACAACUUAUAACAAUGGAUCUCUAGGCUCUUGCAUCGAUGAAGAACGCAGC